AAUUUCUUCGGAAAUGGAUUAGCGGCGAACGGGUCGAGGAACACGUGAAGAAUCUGCCCUCCACUUUGGGAUAACACCGGGAAACCGGUGCUAAUACCGAAUAUUGAAACAUAAGUGGCAUCACUGAGUUUUGAAAGAAUUUCGGUGGAGGAUGACUUCGCGGCCUAUCAGCUAGUUGGUGAGGUAAUGGCUCACCAAGGCAACGACGGGUGGCCGGCCUGAGAGGGCGACCGGCCACACUGGGACUGAGACACGGCCCAGACUCCUACGGGAGGCAGCAGUGGGGAAUAUUGGGCAAUGGAGGAAACUCUGACCCAGCGACGCCGCGUGCGGGAUGAAGGCCUUCGGGUUGUAAACCGCUUUCAGUAGGGAAGAAGCGAAAGUGACGGUACCUACAAAAGAAGCACCGGCUAACUAUGUGCCAGCAGCCGCGGUAAUACAUAGGGUGCAAGCGUUGUCCGGAAUUAUUGGGCGUAAAGAGCUCGUAGGUCGUUUGUUACGUCGGAUGUGAAAACCUGAGGCUCAACCUCAGGCCUGCAUUCGAUACGGGCAAACUAGAGUUUGGUAGGGGAGACUGGAAUUCCUGGUGUAGCGGUGGAAUGCGCAGAUAUCAGGAGGAACACCAAUGG
rnacentral:rRNA from 1 species